AAGGCAACUGUAACUGUGUCAUUCUGAUGUCUCAGGAAUAUACUGGCUGAUCAAAAGCAGAACACUGUACCAGUAGUGUAACAUGAUGAAGCUGAUUGCUCUGAAGAAUCCUGCUUUAGCUAUGCAUGGAUCACCAUCUCAGCAUAGAAGGGAAUUAGACUCCUUAUUGCUGUCAGUUGUGCCAGAAAAGAUUGAGUAUAAAGUAACUGUAAGAUGCCACUCCUGA